rnacentral:lncRNA from 1 species
GCUAUUCUAGAUAACACAUUUUUCUUAAAAUGCUGUUGUUGUUAAAGUCAAAUUAAAUUUUAGCAUUUUCUUCCCCUUAUACGUCUUCUUAAUUGAAAUUCUUAUUAUAUAAUUUGAAAAAAAGUAUCAUAAGUUGGUUUGCUGUCUUGUGUAUUGAUGUAUUAUCAUCUUCAGAUAUAUUACAUCACGAAUGUUAUGUUCCUUUGGUAUAAUAUCAUACGAAAUUACAUUGUCUUAUUUAUAACUCUCAUCCUCGGAUAUUUAUUUUUCCAAAUGAAGAUGUUAUUAUUUUCAUUUUGAAUAAUAUAAUCAUUAUGCCAAUAUGCGUACAAUCUCCAGUAUUGUCAUGCUAAUGCAUUAUCAUUCUUUUUUAUGCUCAUUAAAAGUUUUAUCAAACCAAUGGGUUUAUUAAAUGAUAUCUUGACUCUCCAACUUAAAGUAAGUUUUAAGUUUCUUACAAUAUCUGCAUUCGAAGUAAUAGCAUGCCCUGUCCGCGGACUGUGCUAUCUUUCUAAAUAAUUUACUUUUUUUUAAAAAAAGGUGUUUCCUGUUUAAUUUUUUUUUCCGGGAUUUAAUUUAUCUCAACUCAAGAUUUUAAAGUAAAGUAAUACAUUAUGACAUUCACAAAUUGUUAAAGCAGGAAAAAUAGUCAGUACGUUGAUGCGCACCUUGGCCUCAAUGUAAUUUUAUGCAAAUAACGAAAUACUGAUAAAAUACAUUCUGUUACACUAUAAAAGCCAUUGAAAGCAGGACAUUAUCACGUCAAAAUUAUGUGAUAAGGAAUACAUGUUGUGCUUUCUGUUUGGUAAUAAAUCAAUUACGAAGUCAUAAUUUUUUUUAUAUAUUUCUGCGUUGACAUAGGCUUUUGAAAUGGACACUCAGAUUAUCUAUCAGUUAUUAGUAUGGUUGGAAAUAGUUCAUUAUCGCGUGUGUGUGUCUGGUGAAGACUGGCAUUUUUUGGGUUAAGUACAUUUAUUUUAUAGUAGUGAUUACAAUUUGUCAGUAAAAUAUGGACAAUUAUUUUCAGUUAGUGCAAAAUGCCGUUUGAAAAAAAAUAGAAUUUAAUAUAUCCGUUUUAAUGUCUGUUUUUUUUUUCCAGAUUCUUGUUGUAAUUUAAAUGCACUUUUUCCUGUUUAUAAAUUUCUUAUAAUGUCUUAAAUUAUAUACUAGGUAAUUCUACUAAUAUGCAUUGUAAUAGUUUACAUAUAGUGUAAAGACAUCGUUUCAAGUGUAGAAAACAAUAAUUUAGAUAGAUAUGAAAAUAUUUUCUAACCCCUCAGGACAAAAUAUAGCUUUAAAUAAACCUGUGAGCCAAAUCCAAGGCACGUACAGAGAGCAUCUAGCUAACGUAUGCAGCAAGCCUGGCUGUUGAUGGAGACAAUAGUACAUACUUUAGUACAUGCAGUUGCAGUCAUACGUCACAAGGCAAUAUCAGUGGAUUGGCUUCUUUUACAGUUUACCUAGGAAGAAAAUUUAAUAUUACAGGAGUAGUGAUAUUUAACCGGCAAGACCACAGAGAGAGGCUUCAGAACUUUGUUGUUUUAGGAGACAGUGUUGUUAUUUACAACGAUAUAGGAAUUCAAGCAUAUAAUAACAAAACUAGACGGUUCAAACUCAUUUUCGUCAAUAACUGUACAAACACCAGGGCAUACAGUCGACCCCGAUGGCGGAUAUGCUUUUUUGACAUUAUGCGAAGUACAGGUUUAUGCAUACGGAUGCGACAAGGGAUAUGAAGUGGAUGAUAGCCACACACAAAGAACAUGUUUCAAUAACAUAUCUUUGAUUAGGAAUGAGAGUGAGUGUAUUGAGAUAGAGUAUCCAUACCCGGUUAAAUUACAGAAUGGAUCCUAUUUAUUUCCAAACGGAAGUACGCAUUAUUCAAAUGAAACAAAUUAUGACACUGUAGUGCUGGUAGCUUAUGAUAUUGCUUAUCUUGACGCCAGACAAGCUGAGAGAGGUUGCAGAUCAGACUGCAGUAGGAUUGAACAUUUAACCUUUUGUCGCAAGAUCACGUUGUGUGAUCAGCCUUGAGAUUUUUCUGAUGGUUCAUACGUGUUUCCAAAUGAUACAAAUCCGUAUGUUAAUGGAACCCAGACUUAUUCUGUUGGUAUAAAUGCAAAAUGUGAUAAAGGAUGUGUUCUUAAUUCUACUUCAAAGAAAAGAGAAUGCCUAAAAACAGGCUUAUGGAGCGGUGAAAACCCGGUUUGUAUUCCAGUAACGUGUAAAUGGCCGUUGCAUUUAGAUGGUGGAUAUUACAUGUCCUCACAAAAUUCAGUCUCCAUGGGAUUGCCCUUAGGCAGCAAUAUUACGGCUUACUACAACGACCGUUUCCGACUCGCUAAUCAGUACAAAAGUAGACGUUGUAAUGAAAGCGGAAUCUGGGAAAAUGAGCCAGAAA